UAAGGAAUAUUGGGCAAUGGGCGAAAGCCUGACCCAGCCAUGCCGCGUGCAGGAUGACAGCCCUAGUGGUUGUAAACUGCUUUUAUACGAGAAGAAAUGCUCCGACGUGUCGGAGUUUGACUGUAUCGUAAGAAUAAGCACCGGCUAACUCCGUGCCAGCAGCCGCGGUAAUACGGAGGGUGCAAGCGUUAUCCGGAUUCAUUGGGUUUAAAGGGUGCGUAGGCGGAAUAGUAAGUCAGUGGUGAAAUCCUGCAGCUCAACUGCAGAACUGCCAUUGAUACUGCUGUUCUUGAGUAUAGUUGAAGUGGGCGGAAUGUGUCAUGUAGCGGUGAAAUGCAUAGAUAUGACACAGAACACCAAUUGCGUAGGCAGCUCACUAAACUAUUACUGACGCUCAGGCACGAAAGCGUGGGUAGCGAACAGG
rnacentral:rRNA from 1 species